ACAAUGUAAACUUAAUGUUGUUAACCUUCACACGUUACUGGUUUUAUGAUGCGUCUGCCGCAGGCUUGAUUGGGGGAGGAGCAAGAGAGAUACAAGAGAUAAUGAUUGAAAAUCAAGUCUACUAUUGUGAGUAUAAAUUGCUCGGGCUAUUGGAAAAAGAGUGCAACGGAGACAAUCACUGAAAGGAAAGACAGAGAAUGUAAACGGAAUAGGUUUUCAUGUUGGCAAUACUACUUCGGCCAGGGUACUUGGGUGGGAAAAGGUCGUAUAGCUAUGAGUGUAACUGCACCAAAGUCGCCGGGAAAACUCCGACUGAUUAGACCUCGGAUAUUCCCCUUCAUCUCAAUCACUGAUCAUUCAUCUUUCACCAUUGACUGAUCUUAGCCAUUAAUUUCCAAUGGAGACCUCCGGCAAUUCAAUGACCCAGUACUUGGAACCUCCAGUUUAUUGAGACUUUAAAUCAUAAGACAUAUUUACGUCAUUGGCAUAAACUUUUUUUGUAAUAACAUUGACAGAAGGUGACUCAUGAAAUUCAAAUUGACACACAUUUUUAGCUGUUAUCAAACAAU